rnacentral:rRNA from 1 species
GUGCCAGCAGCCGCGGUAAUACGUAGGGUGCGAGCGUUGUCCGGAAUUAUUGGGCGUAAAGAGCUCGUAGGCGGUGUGUCACGUCGAUCGUGAAAACCUACAGCUUAACUGUGGGCGUGCGGUCGAUACGGGCAUCACUGGAGUUCGGCAGGGGAGACUAGAAUUCCUGGUGUAGCGGUGAAAUGCGCAGAUAUCAGGAGGAACACCGGUGGCGAAGGCGGGUCUCUGGGCCGAUACUGACGCUGAGGAGCGAAAGCGUGGGGAGCGAACAGGAUUAGAUACCCUGGUAGUCCACGCCGUAAACGGUGGGCGCUAGGUGUGGGGAUCAUUCCACGGUCUCUGUGCCGCAGCUAACGCAUUAAGCGCCCCGCCUGGGGAGUNCGGCCGCAAGGCUNAAACUCAAAGGAAUUGACGGGGGCCCGCACAAGCGGCGGAGCAUAUGGAUUAAUUCGAUGCAACGCGAAGAACCUUACCUGGGUUUUGACAUGCACUAAGACGCGUCUANAGAUAGGCGUUCCCUUGUGGCUGGUGUGCAGGUGGUGCAUGGCUGUCGUCAAGCUCGUGUCGUGAGAUGUUGGGUUAAGUCCCGCAACGAGUGCAACCCCUGUUCCAUGUUGCCAGCGCGUAAUGGCGGGGACUCAUGGGAGACUGCCGGGGUCAACUCGGAGGAAGGUGGGGAUGACGUCAAGUCCAAUGGCUCAUACAGAGGGCUGCGAGACCGCGAGGUGGAGCGAAUCCCUUAAAGUGAGUCUCAGUUCGGAUUGGGGUCUGCAACUCGACCCCAUGAAGUCGGAGUCGCUAGUAAUCGCGGAUCAGCAACGCCGCGGUGAAUACGUUCCCGGGCCUUGUACACACCGCCCGUCACGUCAUGAAAGUUGGUAACACCCGAAGCCGACGGCCUAACCCGUAAGGGAGGGAGUUGUCGAAGGUGGGACUGGCGAUUAGGACGAAGUCGUAACAAGGUAGCCGUACCGGAAGGUGCGGCUGGAUCACCUCCUU